UAGUAUUCAAUUGUCAGAGGUGAAAUUCUUGGAUUUAUUGAAGACUAACUACUGCGAAAGCAUUUGCCAAGGAUGUUUUCAUUAAUCAAGAACGAAAGUUAGGGGAUCGAAGACGAUCAGAUACCGUCGUAGUCUUAACCAUAAACUAUGCCGACUAGGGAUCGGAUGAUGUUAAUUUUUUAAUGACUCA
rnacentral:rRNA from 2 species